UACGGAGGGGGCUAGCGUUGUUCGGAAUUACUGGGCGUAAAGCGCGCGUAGGCGGCUUUGUAAGUUAGAGGUGAAAGCCCGGGGCUCAACCCCGGAACAGCCUUUAAGACUGCAUCGCUAGAAUCCGGGAGAGGUGAGUGGAAUUCCGAGUGUAGAGGUGAAAUUCGUAGAUAUUCGGAAGAACACCAGUGGCGAAGGCGACUCGCUGGACAAGUAUUGACGCUGAGGUGCGAAAGCGUGGGGAGCAAACAGG
rnacentral:rRNA from 1 species